UACAGAGGUGCCAAGCGUUAGGCGGAAUCACUGGGCUUAAAGCGCGCGUAGGCGGAUGUUUUAAGUGUCUUGUGAAAUCCCACGGCUCAACCGUGGAACUGCUGGGCAUACUGGACAUCUCGAGGCACUCAGGGGCGAGCGGAACAAGUGGUGGAGCGGUGAAAUGCGUAGAUAUCACUUGGAACGCCAAUGGUGAAGACAGCUCGCUGGGGGUGUCCUGACGCUGAGGCGCGAAAGCCAGGGGAGCG
rnacentral:rRNA from 1 species